UACGUAGGGUGCGAGCGUUGUCCGGAAUUACUGGGCGUAAAGAGCUCGUAGGCGGUGUGUCGCGUCGGCCGUGAAAACCUGCAGCUUAACUGUGGGCUUGCGGUCGAUACGGGCAUCACUGGAGUUCGGCAGGGGAGACUGGAAUUCCUGGUGUAGCGGUGAAAUGCGCAGAUAUCAGGAGGAACACCGGUGGCGAAGGCAGCUCGCUGGGACGUUACUGACGCUGAGACGCGAAAGCGUGGGGAGCAAACAGG
rnacentral:rRNA from 1 species